rnacentral:rRNA from 1 species
GACGAACCGUGCAAACGUUGUUCGGAAUCACUGGGCUUAAAGGGCGCGUAGGCGGCCCACCAAGUCAGGGGUGAAAUCCUGCGGCUCAACCGUAGAAGUGCCUUUGAUACUGGUGGUCUCGAGGGAGGUAGGGGCGUGCGGAACUUCCGGUGGAGCGGUGAAAUGCGUAGAUAUCGGAAGGAACACCGGUGGCGAAAGCGGCGCGCUGGACCGCUUCUGACGCUGAGGCGCGAAAGCCAGGGGAGCGAACGGG